CAAACUGUGUUGAAACGCCAACUGGAGUUGGUCAUGGACCUUUGCCGCCCUUCAUCCAGAGCCUUCCACAGAGAUGGCAGAUAUAUCGCUGCCUGGACCAACAGUUGACCAUGCCGUUGAGUCCAUGAUAUCAGUAGCAGCCAUGAAAACAUCUACAGAAUUACAUCUGCGGCCGUGGCUAUUAAUGGAUACAUUCUGCACCACUUCCAUGUGCUGUCAGUUUGAAACGUCUCUACUCUGACAGAAGGAAGGGAAUGAAUACCCAGGAUUGUUCCUCAGGAAAAUCUCUUCAACAGGCUGUUGUCAGUUUGCAUGCUCUUUGGAUGGAAUUACCCUACCUUGGCUUGCAGAGAAUCUGUGAUAUAAAAGACCUCUUUUGUGCUGCAUUGUGUCAUUGAUUUAUUGUAUUUUAUAUGUAUUAUGCCACUAUUGUAAAAACAAAUGGGCAUAUGUUUUAGCGUAUGUUUUCAAACAGACACAUUUAUAUUUCAAACAGACACAUUUAUAUUUUUGAAUAAUUUGAAAAUACAUUUUGUAGGUUGACUUCAAUCCAUGAAACAUUAAUGGUAGGUUAUAUUUGACCAGAACAUGACAAGUAUUGUUUUCGGAGUUUUUUGGUCGAAGGUGAAGGUAAUGGCUAACAGUGGUUAUUCUGCACAAUGAACCUUGAAUUCUUUGACCUAGGACCAUUAAUAUUUAGUGAUUGAUAUAUCAGUCCAACUCAUAUGUGAAAGGGACAUGAUGAAAUUGAGCAAGAGCUUAUUAGCAUUGCAAAUUAUUAUUUGUUCAUUUUUAGCUCGACUAUUCGAAGAAUAGGUGGGCUAUACUAUCAUUAACA